CCGCACAAGCGGUGGAGCAUGUGGUUUAAUUCGAUGCAACGCGAAGAACCUUACCUACACUUGACAUGCAGAGAACUUUCCAGAGAUGGAUUGGUGCCUUCGGGAACUCUGACACAGGUGCUGCAUGGCUGUCGUCAGCUCGUGUCGUGAGAUGUUGGGUUAAGUCCCGCAACGAGCGCAACCCUCGCCCUUAGUUGCCAGCAUUUAGUUGGGCACUCUAGGGGGACUGCCGGUGAUAAGCCGAGAGGAAGGUGGGGAUGACGUCAAGUCCUCAUGGCCCUUACGGGCUGGGCUACACACGUGCUACAAUGGCGGUGACAAUGGGCAGCGAACCCGCGAGGGGGAGCUAAUCUCAAAAAGCCGUCUCAGUUCGGAUUGUUCUCUGCAACUCGAGAGCAUGAAGUUGGAAUCGCUAGUAAUCGCGUAACAGCAUGACGCGGUGAAUACGUUCCCGGGCCUUGUACACACCGCCCGUCACACCAUGGGAGUUGGUUCUACCCGACGACGCUGCGCUAACCUUCGGGAGGCAGGCGGCCACGGUAGGAUCAGUGACUGGGGUGAAGUCGAAACAAGGUAGCCG
rnacentral:rRNA from 1 species